ensembl:ncRNA C18H9.10 ncRNA
ACCCGACUAUUUGUCUUUCUUUGCUCUUCUGGAUAACUGAUCAGAGUUGGAUGUCUGCAAUAUAAUCAAUAAAUUUUAAUUCUUAUCUGAAAAACUAACAUGGCACCCAUUCCAUUUCUAUUU